AAUAGAUACCCGGGUAGUCCACGCCGUAAACGAUGAGUGCUAGGUGUUAGGGGGGUCCAACCCCUUAGUGCUGAAGUUAACACAUUAAGCACUCCGCCUGGGGAGUACGACCGCAAGGUUGAAACUCAAAGGAAUUGACGGGGGCCCGCACAAGCAGUGGAGCAUGUGGUUUAAUUCGAAGCAACGCGAAGAACCUUACCAGGUCUUGACAUCCUCUGACAACCCUAGAGAUAGGGCGUUCCCCUUCGGGGGACAGAGUGACAGGUGGUGCAUGGUUGUCGUCAGCUCGUGUCGUGAGAUGUUGGGUUAAGUCCCGCAACGAGCGCAACCCUUGAUGUUAGUUGCCAGCAUUCAGUUGGGCACUCUAACGUGACUGCCGGUGACAAACCGGAGGAACGUGGGGAUGACGUCAAAUCAUCAUGCCCCUUAUGACCUGGGCUACACACGUGCUACAAUGGGCGGUACAAAGGGCAGCGAAACCGCGAGGUGGAGCCAAUCCCAUAAAGCCGCUCUCAGUUCGGAUUGCAGG
rnacentral:rRNA from 1 species